rnacentral:rRNA from 1 species
AACCUUAUMUUUAGAGGAAGGAGAGUCGUAACAAGGUUUCCGUAGGUGAACCUGCGGAAGGAUCAUUG